rnacentral:rRNA from 1 species
GCCCUUAGAGUUUGAUCCUGGCUCAGAACGAACGUUGGCGGCAUGGAUUAGGCAUGCAAGUCGCGCGAAUGCCCGCAAGGGUGGAAGCGGCGUAAGGGGCAGUAAGGCGUGGAUAACCUACCCCGGGAUUCGGCAUAGCCCGUCGAGAGACGGGGUAAUUCCGAGCGACGUCCGGUCGGGGCAUCCUGGUCGGACCAAAGUUCCGGCGUCCCGGGAGGGGUCCACGUGGUAUUAGCUAGUUGGUGAGGUAACGGCUCACCAAGGCCAAGAUGCCUAGCGGGUGUGAGAGCAUGACCCGCGCCACUGGCACUGAGACACUGGCCAGACACCUACGGGUGGCUGCAGCCGAGGAUCUUCGUCAAUGGGCGCAAGCCUGAACGAGCGAUGCCGCGUGGGCGAUGAAGGCCUUCGGGUUGUAAAGCCCUGUCGAGGGGGAGAAAAGGCAACUUGAUCUAUCCCUGGAGGAAGCUCGGGCUAAGUUCGUGCCAGCAGCCGCGGUAAGACGAACCGAGCGAACGUUGUUCGGAAUCACUGGGCUUAAAGGGCGCGUAGGCGGGCCACCAAGUCGGGGGUGAAAUCCUCCCGCUCAACGGGAGAAUGGCCUUCGAUACUGGCGGUCUCGAGGGGGGUAGGGGCGUGCGGAACACUGGGUGGAGCGGUGAAAUGCGUUGAUAUCCAGUGGAACUCCGGUGGCGAAGGCGGCACGCUAGACCCCAUCUGACGCUGANGCGCGAAAGCCAGGGGAGCAAACGGGAUUAGAUACCCCGGUAGUCCUGGCCCUAAACGAUGAGAACUANGUAGUCGGCCAGACAUGGGCGGACUGCCGCAGCGAAAGUGCUAAGUUCUCCGCCUGGGGAGUAUGGUCGCAAGGCUGAACUCAAAGGAAUUGA